rnacentral:rRNA from 1 species
AGAGUUUGAUCAUGGCUCAGAUUGAACGCUGGCGGCAUGCCUUACACAUGCAAGUCGAACGGCAGCACGGACUUCGGUCUGGUGGCGAGUGGCGAACGGGUGAGUAAUACAUCGGAACGUGUCCUGGAGUGGGGGAUAGCCCGGCGAAAGCCGGAUUAAUACCGCAUACGCUCUGUGGAGGAAAGCGGGGGAUCGCAAGACCUCGCGCUCAAGGGGCGGCCGAUGGCAGAUUAGCUAGUUGGUGGGGUAAAGGCCUACCAAGGCGACGAUCUGUAGCUGGUCUGAGAGGACGACCAGCCACACUGGGACUGAGACACGGCCCAGACUCCUACGGGAGGCAGCAGUGGGGAAUUUUGGACAAUGGGCGCAAGCCUGAUCCAGCAAUGCCGCGUGUGUGAAGAAGGCCUUCGGGUUGUAAAGCACUUUUGUCCGGAAAGAAAACUUCCUGGUUAAUACCCGGGGAGGAUGACGGUACCGGAAGAAUAAGCACCGGCUAACUACGUGCCAGCAGCCGCGGUAAUACGUAGGGUGCAAGCGUUAAUCGGAAUUACUGGGCGUAAAGCGUGCGCAGGCGGUUCGUUAAGACAGAUGUGAAAUCCCCGGGCUUAACCUGGGAACUGCAUUUGUGACUGGCGGACUCGAGUAUGGCAGAGGGGGGUAGAAUUCCACGUAGCAGUGAAAUGCGUAGAGAUGUGGAGGAAUACCGAUGGCGAAGGCAGCCCCCUGGGCCAAUACUGACGCUCAUGCACGAAAGCGUGGGGAGCAAACAGGAUUAGAUACCCUAGUAGUCC